UUUUUCUUGAACACCCUACCUGCUAUUGCUGAACGCACACCCACGCUCUACCCCCCACCACCUCUCCUCCCCUUCCCUCUCCUCCCUUACACUUACUCCCUAUGCUCUUGUUGUUCAUGUUGUCCAAGAUUUGCGCAAUUUCAUCGACUAAUUGAGCCGGAGUCGUUGAUUUGUCUAACAACUCAGGCAAAAAUAAUUUAGCUUUUUUACUGCUGGGCGUUUGGUCAAUGUUUGAAUUUUUGAGGCAAAGGGAAGAAGAAUCCAGUUUAACAUUCUUGACUAUCUAAACUCUGGAGCUGGAACUGAGGAACACGUCCAGUCUGAGGGAACUUCCAUGUAAUGAAUAGCUUGUUUCAUGCAUGCUCGAUUACAAUCGUAACAAGAACUACACAUCUUGCCUUGAAGAGUUCAAUUUGUGGAAUUCCGGUGCAAGCUUUUGCUCAUGCUUGAAUUAGAAGUUGAUUUUGACUUUUGCUGAAUACGAGUUAGCAUCUAACAAGUGUAGUGGAGAUAGUUCUCUUUCAGAAAGUUUGAUCCUACUCCAAUAAUGAAGGAAGAUAAUGGCUUCUUUGUUGUUAAGAAAGGAGAUCUUGUUGGAGUCUACAGAAACUUGAGUGACUGCCAGACUCAAGUUGGAUCCUCGGUAACUGUUUUGGAGGAAUUUUAAUCUGCAGUUAUAUGUAUAUGUGUGUGUAUGUAUGUUUGUAUGUAUGUGUGUUUGUGUAUAUUUAUUCCUUUUACCUAUCAAACAAAUUAUAGAUGUAUGUAAGUAUAUUGAUAUGGCGCCACUGUGACCCUUUCCCCUUUUUUGCCUUGAUGGCUUGAACUCCCAAUCUGUUGGUUGGAAGUGGAGUGCUCUUGCAACUGGAUCAACUUCACUUAUCAAUUUGUAGUCAAGAUGUAUUGAUGCCAAUGCUACACGGAAUUUACCUUAUCUGUUCUUUUCCUCGUGAAUAUGUUCAGAGGUUGUUGCACCUUGAGAACAUCAUAAAAGAUUGACCAUGUUUGUUUGCUACAGCUUCAUUUACAUUGUUUGACAUAAAGCUGGAGCAUAAUUUCUGUGCAUAUUUCAACAUUUCUUUUAAUGCUUUCUUUUUAUGAUUAAUAUUAUUUAUCACAAAAAUUAAAAGUAUUUGUUUUAGCUUCAGCUUGGUUUUCCCAAAUUAAUG